AUUGAACGCUGGCGGCAUGCUUUACACAUGCAAGUCGAACGGCAGCGCGGGGGCAACCCUGGCGGCGAGUGGCGAACGGGUGAGUAAUGUAUCGGAACGUAUCCUGUAAAUGGGGGAUAACCAGUCGAAAGAUUGGGUAAUACCGCAUACGCACGAGAGUGGAAAGUAGGGGAUCGCAAGACCUUACGUUAUAGGAGCGGCCGAUAUCUGAUUAGCUAGUUGGUGGGGUAAAGGCCUACCAAGGCGACGAUCAGUAGCUGGUCUGAGAGGACGACCAGCCACACUGGGACUGAGACACGGCCCAGACUCCUACGGGAGGCAGCAGUGGGGAAUUUUGGACAAUGGGCGAAAGCCUGAUCCAGCCAUGCCGCGUGCAGGAAGAAGGCCUUCGGGUUGUAAACUGCUUUAGUCUAGGAAAAAAGGGGUGCGAGGUUAAUACCCUCGUGCUUUGAUGGUACUGGAAGAAUAAGCACCGGCUAACUACGUG
rnacentral:rRNA from 1 species